UUCCGGCCAAGUCGGAGCGCGAAAAAAGGUCCCUGGUUAUUUGAGCUUCGAGCCCCGUCUGAGUGGGAGUUGUUCGUUGUCUGCUCUUUUCUCCUCCUCCUACAAGGAAAUAGGGUUCCAGAAGAUAAAUCAAAUUCUAGUUCAAAGAAUCAGCUCUUGGUAAAAGGAUAAACAAAAUUGACAAACCUCUGGCCAGGCUCACCAAGAAGAAAAGAGAGAAGACCCAAAUAAACAAAAUAAGAAAUGAAAGAGGAGAAAUCACAGCAGAUACCACAGAAGUACAAAAAACCAUAAGAGAAUACUGUGAACAAUUAUAUGCCAACAUAGUUGACAAGUAAAGGAAAUGGACAACUUUCUAGAAACAUACAUCCCAACAAAACUGAAUCAGGAAGAAAUACAUAACUUGAACAUACCAGUCACUGGAAAUGAAAUAGAAUCUGUAAUAAAAAAAAAAACAAACUACCUACAAACAAAAGUUCAGGACCAGAUGGCUUCACUGGGGAAUUCUACCAAACACACAAAGAAGAACUUGCACUGAUCCUUCUAAAACUCUUCUAGAAGAUUGAAGAAGAAGGGACACUCCCAAAGACAUUCUAUGAAGCCACCAUCACCCUGAUACCAAAACCAGACAAAGACACUAUCAAAAAAGAAAAUUACAGGAACAAUUACGUAACGUUGAGUGUGGAAGCCAUGACAUAAGGAGGGCAGAAUUAAAAGAUGGAAUAAGCCCAAGCUAGGAUUCAGAGAGGUUAAGUAAUUGGUGUGAGUUGGCUGGAAGAGAGGGAGAACUUAAAAAGAUUUUUAUACUGGAAAUAUAUACAUAUCAAAUGACUGAAGACAGAUGGAGAGCUUUUCUUAUAUGGGAUUGAAAUCUGCACGUGUCUACCAAGCUCCCAGGAGAUGCCAGUGCUGCUGGUCUGAGGACCAUACUUUGAGCACUCAGGGGCACUAUUUUAUGCUCCUACCUUCAGAGGGAAACAGUGUAUAGCAGAGACAAAGGAAUCUUUUCCUGAGUUCUGAGUUUCAAAAGUUUAGGUCUUUGGGGGAAAAGGGAAGAACUUAGGAAAAAAUGUAAAGAUUGGAGAGAAGUCAUGAUACAAUUGGACUGGAUUGCAAAGAAAAUCAGUGUCCCUAAGAAGACCCCUUCUCCCUCCUACCCUCCCGCCACUCCCUGGUUGGGAGAAGCAGAACUCCAAGAGAAAUGUGGGGAAUCUAUGGGGAGUUAUAAGAUUCAUUCAUGCCAGGAAAGAUGGGGCAAAGUUCUCAGAAGACAGAGCAGAAUGACUGUCUCCUAAAGAAAGGAUUACCUUAACAUUUUAAAAGAAAUCUUCAGGGGCUUCCCUGGUGGCACAGUGGUUAAGAAUCCGCCUGCCAGUGCAGGGGACACGGAUUCGAUCCCUGGCCCGGGAAGAUCCCACAUUCCGCAGAGCAACUAAGCCCGUGUGCCACAACUACUGAGCCUGCGCUCUAGAGCCCGUGCGCCACAACUACUGAGCCCACGUGCUACAACUGCUGAAGCCUGUGUGCCACAACUACUGAAGCCUGCGUGCCUAGAGCCUGUGCUCCACAACAAGAGAAGCCACCGCAAUAAGAAGCCCAUGCACCGCAACCAAGAGUAGCCCCCACUCGCCGCAACUAGAGAAAGCCUGCGCACAGCAACAAAGACCCGAUGCAGCCAUAAGCUUACUGUUUUAAUUCUCACGAGGAUGCUCUGAGGCAGGCAUGAUUACCCCUGUUUUAACAGAAGAGAAAGCUGAAGCCCAGUGAAGUUGCAUGACUUGAUGAAGGACACGUGACUAAUUGCGGAACUGGAACUGGAAAGCAAGUCUUUGGACUUUUUUUUUUAAUUGCUUUGCAUUGUAAUGGUGACACGAAUAUAACAUUAUUGUAAUCUCUGGUUGAUAUUUUAUACAUUUUAUAACUCCAUGUAAGGGAGAGUAAAAGAUUGCUUGCUGGAACUCCACAGAAAAGGUAAAACAAAGAAAGGUGAAAUAUUGAAAUGUAUUGAUUUUGAUCACAGAAUGGUAGAUCUCACUCUACCAUUCACGCUCUCAUUCUCUUUCUCUUCCUUUCUGAUUUAUAUCUCAUCAGUUUCUGGAGAAGGAUUGAUGGAGGCUCUUUGGUUGACUCCCAGGAAAGUAAUAUAUAGUGAAACUAUUUUCACAGUUUAGCAAAAUACAUUGGUUGCCUUCAUAUUGUGAAGAACCAACAAUACUGAUAAAUGAAAAAAAAAAUCCAUGUAGGUAGUACAUGCUUUUAUGCUUUAUAUGAAUGGAGUCAUAUUAUAAGCAUUUUCCAUAGCCUGCUUUUUUGUUUAAGAUUAUGUUAUUAGGAUUCAUCCCUAUUGUUUUGUGUAGGUGUAGUUCUUUAAUUUUUACUGUUGUAUGUGAAAUUCCAUUGCACAUAUAUACCACAAUUUGUUUAUCCUUUGUAUUGUUGAUAGACAUUUGGGUUGUUUCCAGGUUUUUGCCAUAACAAGUAAAUGCUGGUAUGAAUGUAUGCAAUGUUGUAUGUAUGUAUCCUGGUGCAUGUAUGCAAGUGUUGCUGUAGGGGAUAUAUAUUCUUAGGAGUAUAAUUGCUGGGUCAACUUUAUUAGAUAAUAAAGUUGCAUCAACUUUAUCAGAUAAUGUCAUAGUGUUUUUCCAGAGUGAGUUUUGUAUCAGUUUACACUCCAAACAGCCAUGUAAAAGUUUUAUUU